AUACGUAGGUGGCAAGCGUUGUCCGGAAUUAUUGGGCGUAAAGCGCAUGUAGGCGGUUUGGUAAGUCGGUCGUGAAAAUGCGGGGCUUAACGCCGUAUGGCGAUUGAAACUGCUGAACUUGAGUGCAGGAGAGGAAAGGGGAACUCCCAGUGUAGCGGUGAAAUGCGUAGAUAUUGGGAAGAACACCGGUGGCGAAGGCGCCUUUCUGGACUGUGUCUGACGCUCAGAUGCGAAAGCCAGGGUAGCGAACGGGAUUAGAUACCCCGGUAGUCCUGGCCGUAAACGAUGGGUACUAGGUGUGGGAGGUAUCGACUCCUUCCGUGCCGGAGUUAACGCAAUAAGUACCCCGCCUGGGGAGUACGGCCGCAAGGCUUAAACUCAAAUGAAUUGACGGGG
rnacentral:rRNA from 1 species